GUUUCUCUUUCCGCUUGACUUCUUGGCAGUCUCUUAACCUCCAGACUCCAUGUAUUGGGUUCCGCCGAAAGCAAAACAAAACACAGUAAGACUUUGCAUUUGCUUAUCUGUUUGCAGAAUGAGGUUUCAAAGGGGCCAGCCUUCCCCCUCCGUGGCUCAGAGAGAAGUGUGUGGGUCCGUGAAAAGAAACUGCAAGGUUCCUGACUGCGGUUCCCUCGGUGAUGGGCUAGAAGUGUUCAAUGAAUUUUCCUAAACAAGCUGCUUGCUGUCAGACUAUGUUAUCACAGCAAUAAAAGAGACUGGAGCACAGACCUCUCAGAUCUUGGAGGCUGCGGUCUGGAUCCGUCGCCAAGGAUGAGAUCCAGGAGAAAACGUGCUCAACGUGCAGCUUUGCUCCUACUGAUUACAGCCCCACAGAUGACAUCGCUCCACAGUCACACCAAGUCUCCUGUGGGAGUCUUGCUCCUCGUUCCCAGCGUCUGCUACAGCUCAGUAUUUUAGUGUCAGAACGUCGGCUCCCAGCCCGCACCUCCGCUCAGCAAUGCCAUUAUCUUCUCAGCCAAGUCCUAGAAAUGGGUUGGCUUCCCAGUUAAUGCUUUUCAUGCUCUCAAGAGCAAUCGGAGGCUUUCAUACCCAAUUCCUGGAUUCAGUGCUACCCCCUGCAGGAUCUGGCUCCAUUUCCUCAGUCUGGUCCUAAUUCUGUGCAAUGACAUCAUUUACCCACAUUCCCACCGAGAUGCCCAGAUUUCUUCUAGCCGGCGUACAUCCGAAAAAAAAAAAAAAAAAAAAAAAAAAAAACCAAAUGACCUUGGGCGGGUACUUCUGGUUAAGGACUCUUACUAUUUUUCUCUGUCCAGUUGCAGUCUGCAGCGGCAAAUGGGGGUGAGAUGUAGUGAUGUUACACUCGAUUUCUCCAAAUGAACUAAAACAAAACUGAAGAAA